UACGGGGGAGCAAGCGUUGUUCGGAUUUACUGGGCGUAAAGGGCGCGUAGGCGGCCACCGCAAGUCGACUGUGAAAUCUCCGGGCUUAACCCGGAAAGGUCAGCCGAUACUGCGGGGCUAGAGUGCAGAAGGGGCAACUGGGAAUUCUCGGUGUAGCGGUGAAAUGCGUAGAUAUCGAGAGGAACACCUGCGGCGAAGGCGGGUUGCUGGGCUGACACGUGACGCUGGAUGCGCGAAAGCUAGGGGAGCGAACGGGA
rnacentral:rRNA from 1 species